AUGCUCACUUUGGUAGUACAUAUACUACAAUUGGAAUGAGGCAGAGAAGAUUAGCAUGGCCCUUGCACAAGGAUGACAUGCAAAUUCGUGAAGUGUUCCCUAUUUAA